rnacentral:rRNA from 1 species
GACGUAGGGUGCAAGCGUUAAUCGGAAUUACUGGGCGUAAAGCGUGCGCAGGCGGCUUUGCAAGACAGAUGUGAAAUCCCCGGGCUUAACCUGGGAACUGCAUUUGUGACUGCAUGGCUAGAGUGCGGCAGAGGGGAUGGAAUUCCGCGUGUAGCAGUGAAAUGCGUAGAUAUGCGGAGGAACACCGAUGGCGAAGGCAAUCCCCUGGGCCUGCACUGACGCUCAUGCACGAAAGCGUGGGAGCAAACAGG